UACGUAGUUCAUGACCGACAUCUUGUCCGCGGUGACUCUCGGCUGUCGUACGAGCGUAUUUUUGAUAGUUGCGGAAUCUUCCGCAUGGUGGAAGCUGCGUAAGAUACUUUUGUAUCUGGAAGUUUAGCAUAAAGGUUAUAGGUUAUACCGGUUUGUUUCCUUUAGUAUAAAUUGGCGGCGAGCAUGUUUAGACGGUCCAGAUAGAGAAGUAGACUGUGACAAGUGGAAUGACGACGAGAAGCAAUAGGAGGACUAAUGAGAAGAAGGAAAGCAGCUUGUUUUAUCGCUGACAAUGAGAAAUCUCUUGAAUAUCUCAUUGGCUGCGUGCAAGCGUGGAAGAAAAAGUGUGAAAUAAAGCAAGAAGUAGCAGGGAGAAGUAGCGCGUGAAUGUGUAAAUAAGAAUGUGUAAAUGAAAGCGUUAAUGAAAGUGUUUGAAAAUGUGAAGCGUUCUGCGUAAAGCAGGUAGUGAUAAAAGCAAAGUGAAGUAUAGGGUGAAAGGACUAAGUGUGUAAUAAAAAUGCGUAAAUGAAAUAAACGCAUAUCUAAUCUGGAGGUGCGAAAGAUGGAGAGGGAAAUGUAAUAACGAUGUUGAUUCAGCAUGAGAGUUUGUCGAAACAUGGGUUAACUUUGUGAAAAUUGUGAAAUAUGUAUAAAGAUCGUAGGUUAGACGCGUGGAAGUUGACAUAGGUAAGAAAAGAGUUAAAAGGGAGUAUAAAAUGAUAUAACAGGUAAUACGUAAUGCAAUAUAGUUUUAAUUAAUUAAAGACUAAAGAAUAAAUAAAGAUACGUUUAGAAGAUGUA